UACAGAGGGUGCGAGCGUUGUUCGGAAUUAUUGGGCGUAAAGGGCGCGUAGGCGGCGCGGUAUGUCACCUGUGAAAUCUCCUGGCUCAACUGGGAGCUUGCAGGCGAAACUGCCGUGCUGGAGUGUGGGAGAGGUGCGUGGAAUUCCCGGUGUAGCGGUGAAAUGCGCAGAUAUCAGGAGGAACACCAAUGGCGAAGGCAGCUCGCUGGGACGUGACUGACGCUGGAGACGCGAAAGCGUGGGGAGCAAACAGG
rnacentral:rRNA from 1 species